GACGAACUGUCCUACCGUUGUUCGGAAUCACUGGGCUUAAAGGGCGCGUAGGCGGUCCGACAAGUCAGGGGUGAAAUCCUGCAGCUUAACUGCAGAAGUGCCUCUGAUACUGUCGGUCUUGAGGGAGAUAGGGGUGUGCGGAACUUCCAGUGGAGCGGUGAAAUGCGUUGAUAUUGGAAGGAACGCCGGAGGCGAAAGCGGCGCACUGGAUCUCUUCUGACGCUGAGGCGCGAAAGCUAGGGGAGCAAACGGG
rnacentral:rRNA from 1 species